GCUGGACUCCUACGUACCCUCUAUCCAGUAGGACAAAAGGGCUGAGAAGACCAGGAUGGGUCAGAGCUGGCUACUACCGUUACUGGCCCCAGGGUGCCUACACUUGAGAGGUUCCUUCUCCCGUUACCCACCCUGCUGCGCCCAAUUGGGACGCACCCCGGCCACACCCCUCCUCCUCCAGAACCCAGGCCCCGCCCCUCUCACUAGAGCUCAAGGACACCUACAGCUGAGGCGAGGAGCCUCCUACUAUGACCUUGGCCGCCUCCCCUGGGCAGGUUGAGGUGUGAGCACCUGCGGGCCUCACCAACCCCAGGCCUCACCUUCCCGCCAAGCCUGCCCCAGGCGUCCCUCAUGCUGAGCAGCGUGAGUGUGAGGGGCAGCAGCUGUCUGCUCAGAGCUCUGUCAUUGGAAGUCAAGCUUCAGGACAUUCUGUUGCAUGGAAGGAGGGUAGAGCAGCCAAGGGUGUUGGAAGCCCAUGGACACUUUGAACUCUACACCAACUGUCUCAUCUUCACCUUGACCUGGUCAUGGAGCCUCUGAGCCAAGGCCACUCAGUUGAGUGUACACUGGUUUGUGUGGUACAAUGCCAUGUCUGCCUACACUCUCAUGCCUGUGGGAUCUGUGGGCAAUGCACAGCUCCCUGCUUGAUUCCUGGAUUUGUUGACUCCAGUUAAAAUCAUCUGAGGCCUCUCCACCAAGGCUCUCUUGCUCUGGGUCUCCUUAGGCCAUCCUUCAAUCUCCACUGGCCAUGUGGAUUCUCUCCCUUCCUCACUCACCCUCUUGCUGCUCAAGGCAGCUAUGAGUUCUGUAGAACACAGUCCUCCCCUGACCUCUCUCCACCUGCUUGUCUCUUCCCAUCCCCACCUUAGCAGGCCCCUCAGUUUCUUGGGGAAGUUACAUGGGACGUGUGUUCAUGCAUUCUAAAUCCCACCUUACUGACUCUAACUGCCAAUGUGUUUGCCCCUGGGGAUCCAUUGGGAAGUGAUGAGCUCUUCUAAAGGGGUAUCUUUAUUUCAUCUCUGUGUACCUGGAGGGAGGAAGGAGGAGUUGAGGAGGAGAAAUCAAGAAAGCAGGAGAAUAGAGCAGAGGACAAUAUAAGAUGUAACUAGACAGGAUCUUCUGACUGAGAAAAAAUAGAAAUGAGACCCAGGAGUCAGAGGAUUUGCUGCCAGAGGUGGAAUGGGGUGUGACUUGACAUCUAUUAUCUCAUCUGGCUCCUCCAUUUCCUUGCAGAGAGGGUGUACUAUCACAGAGGGAGGUGAAUUUAUCUUGGUGUACAGAAAAUCUGGUAGGUGGAGAUCAACUUCAUUGGAAGAUUUGCUUUUGGAGGUGGAAUGGGGUCAGGCUCAACCUCUUUUGUAUGGCUUUCUCUGUUCUUCCUUGGAUGAAAUGCAUGCUGCCACUUUGGGAGGUGGUUCUGUCUCAGUGGAUGGAGACUCAGCUGGUUGGAGAUCACAGCAGCCAGAAGAUAUGCUGUCAGAGGUGGAAUGGCAUCAGGCUGUACCACUUCUGAGUCAGGUGGCUCCUGGUGGUUUUGGAAACAAGUUCUGCUACCACACUGGGAGGUGAUUGUAUCUCAGUGAAAGGAUAAUCAGUGGCUAGAGAUCCACAGCAGCAGGAGGAUAUGCUGAAAGGAUUGUCCUAAGAGGACAGCCUGUAAUAUAAUUUAAUAUCCACAGAGCAGAAUCUAAUACUGUUAAUAUCCCCAUAGUAGUCUCUAAUAUUAAAUUUGUAUCCUCAGAGCAACCUCUAAUACUAAUGUAAUAGCCCCAGAAUGGCCUCUAAUAAUAAUGCAGUAUCCACAGUUUGGACUUUAAUACUAAUUUGGUAUACACAGAAUGGCUUCUAAUACUUAUUUAAUAGCCAAACUAUGACAUCUAAUACUAAUUUUAUAUCCACAGAGCAGCCUCUAGGACCAAUAUUCACAGAGUGGCCUUUAACACUAAUAUCCAGAGUGGCUUCAAAUAGUUAAUAUGUGCACAGCAGCCUCUAAUAAUUAUUUAAUAUCCGCAGAGUAGAAUAUAACAUCUACUGUUCAUAGAGUGGUGUCUAUUGCUAAUUUAAUAUCCCUGGAGAGGCCUGUACUAAUUUAAUAUCCAGAACAGCUUCUAAUACUGAUAUCCAUAUAGUGGCACGUAAUGCUACUUUAACAUCCACACAGUGAUGUGUGACACUAAUUUAGCACCCACAGGAUGGUGUCUAAUACUCAAUAUCCACAGAACAGCCUCUACUACAAAUUUAUAUCCAAAAGUGCCUGUAACAUGAAUGUAAUGUCCUCAGGGCAUUCUCUAAUACUUAUUUAAUAUCCAGAGGCAGCCUCUAAUACUAUUUCCACAAUGUUCUCUAAUACUCUCUGAAUAUCUCCAAAGCAGAAUGUGAUACUAAUUUAGAAUCUACACAACUACUUUUAAUACUAAUUUAACACUUUUUGCUGGCUUGAACUAUUGGUGGUACAUGCAUGACUGUCCCAUCAAGUGGCUUGAACCACCAGUGGUACAUGCAUGGCUGUCCCAUUGGGUAGCAUGGCUCAGUCAUGCACAUACAGCCCCUUUGUGUAUGUAUUAAUAUCCACACAGUGGCCUCUAAUAGUAAUUUAAUAUCCACACUGCUUCCUCAACUACUAAUUUAAUAUCCACAGAUUAGCCUAUUAUUGCUGUCCACACUUCAGCAUCUAAAACUAAUAUACACAGAAUGGCAUCAAAAUUAAUACAUUUACUCUGUGG
ensembl:lncRNA